AGGAGGCAGCUGUGCCGGUGCCUUCUGUCUCGUCCCAAGGUGUUCUGGGCGAAGGUUUUAUACCCACAGAAACACGGGUACACAUGGUGCCCCGUCACGGUGCUGACCUUGGAGACCUACUUUUUAGAAGAGUCAGAUUCACAGAAGAGUCUUGAAGACGGUGCAGCGUCGCCGUGUCCCAGCCCGUCCCCUCCUGCUGACGACCGGCAUUCAGGCGGCACAUUUGUCACAGUCAGUGAACUGACAUUGACACACUGUCCUUCACCAAAGUCCACACUUCACUCACACUGCCUCAGUUCCCCCUGAUGUCCGUCUUCUGCCCCAGGACCCCACAUGACGGUGACACUCAGCCUCCUCGUGUCCUUGGCUCCCCUGGGCUGAGACAGCUUGAGGGCGCGGGGCUGUCUGAGGCCCCGGGUCUGGGGAGGGGCGGGUGGGCUUGGCCUUGAACUUUGUAAUGAGGCGUCAGCUUCCGAGGAACAGGCCCAGGCUCAGGAGCUGAGGACUUUGCACAAACCAGACGGUGUCGGUGUGAUUCGUGGAGGAGCCGUGCGCGUGGUCCCCUGGGAGUGUCCCACCCGAUGAGAGGGACACAGGGACCCCUCAUUCCUGCAGCCCCUCGGCCACAGGGGUUUGGAUGAUGAGUGACUUGGGAAGCCCAGGGAGGAGGUCUGGUGAGCGUCAUCGGGGAGGCGAGGCCAUCGCGUGUGGGAGGACGGCGACCCAAGUCCUGGGGACAGACCCGCCGCCUGGGGGCCCUUCUGGCCCCACCCUGUGUCCCCUCCACCUGCUGUUCAUGCAAGUCCCAUAGAAUAAACCCAAACACGUGCUUCCUGAA